rnacentral:lncRNA from 1 species
AUGUCGGGUAAACACCGCUUCCUGCCCAAGGUCACACAAGCCAGGGAGCAGGCCCAGAAUGCAGACCAGGUGGCCUGGAGGCGCAAGGCAGGAGCGGGGUCUGGAGACUGUGUCCUGCUGUCGCCCUGCCAGGCUCUGACGCGUGGAGAAGAUGCCAUCAGCAGUUACUAUGUCCCUGCACAUCGAGACCAAGAAAGAGUGUUGUUCUGCUCUGCGGUGAUGAGGCAUAAAGGAAAUUCAGGCAGUCACACAGCGCUGGAUCCGGACCUGCAGGAGUGCACUGUGGCCCUUCCCGGGGGUUUUCUACACACAGCUCCACUUUGGGAGGAACCCUGCGUUUACACAUUUCUCCAGUACUGCGUUUGGACAGUUGAGUAGCCGACGUCCCAGGGUUUUCUCUCUUGGAGGCUGACCCGGCUUCCCCGGCUGCUGGGUGUGCGGGAGCGAAGGAGCACAGUGAGGGCGGCAGACAGGUCAAGAGCACGGAGUCUCCAGGUACAGAAAGGAGGACAGGACAGGGAGGUGCGACGGGGAGAAGGCAGUGCGCGAACAAACACAAAGUGCGGCGCCGCUGCUGGAUGAUCGCCCAGGGGAACCGCUCAGGCCGCAGGCAGGCCUCCUCGGCCCGGUUCUCGGUUCUCCGCGCGGGCCCAGCAGCUCGACUCUGCUCGCCUCUGAAGGCCGACUGCAUCACCCCGACCCGGGCAGCGUGGCCAGCUUUUUCUUCCCGGACUCCUGCUCUGGUCGCCAGCUCUUCCUCCUUGAGGAGGUCGGGACGGGGCGCCGAUUUCCCCUCCCCGGGGAGGGCAUCCGGGAGGCUCCUAGUCAGGGCCCAGAGGAUUACACGCUCCAGGGCGCUGCUCUCCUGGAGCCCACGAGACACGCACUCACAGAGCAACACGCGACCACCUACGCCCGUCGCUGCGCCAAGAUCCCGGCGCCACACCCCCG